GAUGAACGCUGGCGGCAUGCCUAACACAUGCAAGUCGAACGAGACCUUCGGGUCUAGUGGCGCACGGGUGCGUAACGCGUGGGAACCUGCCUUUAGGUUCGGAAUAACUCAGAGAAAUUUGAGCUAAUACCGGAUGAUGUCUUCGGACCAAAGAUUUAUCGCCUUUAGAUGGGCCCGCGUAAGAUUAGCUAGUUGGUGGGGUAAAGGCCUACCAAGGCGACGAUCUUUAGCUGGUCUGAGAGGAUGAUCAGCCACACUGGGACUGAGACACGGCCCAGACUCCUACGGGAGGCAGCAGUGGGGGAAUAUUGGACAAUGGGCGAAAGCCUGAUCCAGCAAUGCCGCGUGAGUGAUGAAGGCCUUAGGGUUGUAAAGCUCUUUUACCCGAGAUGAUAAUGACAGUAUCGGGAGAAGUAAAGCUCCGGCGUAACUCCGUGCCAGCAG
rnacentral:rRNA from 1 species